rnacentral:rRNA from 1 species
UACGUAGGGUGCGAGCGUUGUCCGGAAUUAUUGGGCGUAAAGGGCUCGUAGGCGGUUUGUCGCGUCGGGAGUGAAAUCCUACGGCUUAACUGUGGGCUUGCUUUCGAUACGGGCAGACUAGAGGUAUGCAGGGGGAGAACGGAAUUCCUGGUGUAGCGGUGAAAUGCGCAGAUAUCAGGAGGAACACCGGUGGCGAAGGCGGUCUCUGGGCAGUGAUCUGACGCUGAGGAGCGAAAAGUG